CAGCCGCCGCGGUAAUACGAAGGGGGCUAGCGUUGUUCAGAUUUACUGGGCGUAAAGCGCACGUAGGCGGACUUUUAAGUCAGGGGUGAAAUCCCGGGGCUCAACCCCGGAACUGCCUUUGAUACUGGAAGUCUUGAGUAUGGUAGAGGUGAGUGGAAUUCCGAGUGUAGAGGUGAAAUUCGUAGAUAUUCGGAGGAACACCAGUGGCGAAGGCGGCUCACUGGACCAUUACUGACGCUGAGGUGCGAAAGCGUGGGGAGCAAACAGGAUUAGAUACCCGCGUAGUCCCUGUCUCUUAUAC
rnacentral:rRNA from 1 species